UACGGAGGAUCCGAGCGUUAUCCGGAUUUAUUGGGUUUAAAGGGUGCGCAGGCGGGGGAUUAAGUCGGCGGUGAAAUUUUGCAGCUCAACUGUAAAAGUGCCUUCGAAACUGGUUUCCUUGAGUGUAGAUGAAGUAGGCGGAAUUUGUGGUGUAGCGGUGAAAUGCAUAGAUAUCACGAGGAACUCCGAUUGCGCAGGCAGCUUACUAAACUACUACGGACGCUCAGGCACGAAGGCGUGGGGAUCAAACAGGAUUAGAUACCCUGGUAGUCCCU
rnacentral:rRNA from 1 species